CACAUAUACCGAAAUGAGACAGAGACAUAUACCGAAACAGUACAGAGAAGAUUAGCAUGAACCUGCACAAGGAUGGCACAAAAAUUUGUCAAGCAUUCCAUAUUUAA